CUACGGGUGGCUGCAGUGGGGAAUAUUGCACAAUGGAGGAAACUCUGAUGCAGCAACGCCGCGUGGAGGAUGACACUUUUCGGAGCGUAAACUCCUUUUAUAUAGGAAGAAGAUGACGGUACUAUAUGAAUAAGCGCCGGCUAACUCCGUGCCAGCAGCCGCGGUAAUACGGAGGGCGCAAGCGUUAUUCGGAAUCACUGGGCGUAAAGAGCGUGUAGGCGGAUUAAAAAGUCAGAAGUGAAAUCCUAUAGCUUAACUAUAGAACUGCUUCUGAAACUCUUAAUCUAGAAUAUGGGAGAGGUAGAUGGAAUUUCUGGUGUAGGGGUAACAUCCGUAGAGAUCAGAAGGAGUACCGAUUGCGAAGGCGAUCUACUAGAACAUUAUUGACGCUGAGACGCGAAAGCGUGGGGAGCAAACAGGAUUAGAUACCCGUGUAGUC
rnacentral:rRNA from 1 species